AUGGCAUUUAAUUCCCUCUGUGGUCAAAGAGACCAAGUUGAUGCUGUCAAAGUAGUCGUCGGUCAGAAAGUUCGUCUACGACGUGACCAGGAUGCCCUUCUGAUUGAAGAGACGCUGGGAAUCACGGAGCACGUAGCUGAAGUCCUCCUCCUCGAUGGUGGACGGUUUCCGGCUGGGCUUCACAGGGCACCGAUAUCCUGGUUUCACGGAGGAAUAACACACGCAGCCGUCAUCGGUGUUUACCUGAAACGGUCGAUGCUGCCGAGUCUGGUCAUGAGCUCCUCCCGCAUCCUGGAGAAGCCCUGUUCCAUCUUUUUGUUCACAAGGUCACCCUGUCCAUGAAGUUGUGGAUGAGGUCGUCGACCUUUGCACUACUCGCGUGUCCUCCCGUGUCGAGGCCUCGAAGCGCGUGUCGAGUAAUCGAGGAUGAUUCUUGUGAAGCGCGUAUCGAGCCUUGUGUUUGAUGACGUAUGUGAUUCGACCUUCUAUUUUCUGCGAUGGAACCAGCGAGGUAGAGAAGAUGUCCCCCUGUCUGGGAACUCCAUGAGCUGAUCGCUCCUAAUAAGGUGAAGUGUCUGUUGUGUUGACAAGAACUCGGAUACAACUAUACCACCUCGUCCAUGCUGAGGCAUUAUAGAGCGCUGCAUGAGAACAUGGAGACCGACCCAGGUGGACCAAGCUCAGGUCUGAAGUAUGAUGUGGAGGAGGCCUUGGUGAAUAUGGUGAUGGAGGAUUCUCAGCCCUUCACUAUUGUGGAGGACAAAGGGUUCAGAAAGCUUGUUCAAGCUUUCAACCCAACCUGUGUUCUCCCCACAAGGCAGGUGUGUGUGUGAGCACAUGAAGCAUGUCUCCUCAUUUCCUCAUAUUUGCCAUUCCUACAGUCUUCUUUUCUUUAGGUAUUGAAAGCUAUGGUGGAGGAGAGAUAUAAGGAGUCCAAGGAGAAGGCCAUUGUGCCGAAGGCUUCCACAGUUGCUUUAACUUCAGACAUGUGGACUUGUAUCAACACAGAUGCCUGUCUGGCUGUGACCUGACAUUUCAUAGAUGACACCACCUCUUUGCAUAGUGUUGAUUUAGGGGCCCUUCAUUUCCCUGAGGCGCAUACUGCCGCAAAUUUUGCAACAGUCAAAUCAGCACUGAUGUCACAGUGGGGUCUAACAAACAAAGUUACUUGUUUGUUGAUGGUGCAGAAAAUAUGGGUGCUUGUGCCAGGGAGCUUUGUUUGCCUCACACAG